rfam:Serendipita vermifera MAFF 305830 unplaced genomic scaffold scaffold_150, whole genome shotgun sequence.
AAUAAUACUAUUAAAAUAAAUAUCUAAAAUUUUUACUCUCCGGCCCAAAUCAUUGUGUUAGGAGAAGGAAAAGAAACCAACCGAGAUUCUACUAGUAACGGUGAGUGAACGUGGAAAAGCCUAAAUUAAAUUAUAAAUUCUCAUAAAAAGGGAAGAAAAUUCAGCCGCAUAAUAGUAUAAAAUUUAUUUAGUUUUUACUUUUAAUUAUAAUACACAUUGUGCUUAAAAGUUUAAAAAAAAGUAAUAAAUAAUAUUUCUAAAUAAAUUACUAUAAGCUUGAAUUUUGGGAUAAAAUCCCAGCGAAGAUAUUUUUUAAGUUAAACUAAUUUAUUGUUACUUUAAAAAAGGAGUAGCGUGUGAAAUUCUUAAUUAAAAAAGAACACACAGUGCUAAAAAAGAAACCACGCUGUAAAGGUUGUAAUAUUUUUAAAGAAAAAUGAAUUUAAACAUACUGGUGGUCGCUCUGUAUAGAAUUUAUAAUAUAAUUAUCAAAAGUACAACGAGUUUAAACUUGUUGGAAAAAAUAGCAAACACUUUUACUUAAAGGUGUUAGCUUAUCAGGGGAGCCAUCCUCUAAGGCUAAAUAUAAUGAACUUAGCGGUAGCGCAAAAGUACUGUGAAGGAAUGAAGAAAAUGAAUUAGUUACUCUAUAAGCAAUUUUUAAAUAGUAAUAAAUGAAUUAACCGGAAGAAUAUAAACCGGCAAUAUCAAAAACUAAAUUAAAUUUAAAAAUGUACCUUUUGUAUAAUGGGUCAGCAAGUUAAUAUCAAAGAGCAAGGUUAAUAGCCCUAGCGAAAGCGAUUGCACCUGCUUUUUAAAAAGCAAUAUAUGAUUUAAUAAUCUAUAUAACAAAGUUUUAAAUAAUUUUGGGUAGCGAGUAAGUUCUUUAUAUUAGAUCCGAAACGAAGUGAUCUUACCAUGAUCAGAUUAUUAAAGGAUCGAACGGUUUGGCGUUGCAUUGCCAUCCGAUGAAUUGUGGUAAGCAGUGAAAGAUAAAUCUGACUUCGAGAUAGCUGAUUAGAAUUGAGAAAAAUAUUUUCGUAUUGAGUCUUUUAAGCAUUAAUACUGCUCACUUGUAUUUAAUUACAAGUGUAAAAUUAUUGUAGGUACAACAAGCUGAUACCAGCGUUCAAAUUAUAAUAUAAUAAGAAUAUAAAUGGGGGCCGUGAAAAGCCUAUCAUUGGUAGCUAAUUUCGGAAUUACAAUUAAUUUUCAAAAGAUAUUCAGAUUACUCGUGCUAAGGCGGGUAAUCAAAACGGCAACAGCCGAGAACACGUAUUAAGGUUCCCCAAAAAUUAUUAAGUGAACAUAAGGAUGUAUUUUUUUGAUAUACAGCUUGUUGGUGAGCUCGGAAGUUGCUAACUAAUAAUGAUCGUGUAAAAACGCGCAAGCCCAAUUCAAUUUGUUUUAUUUAACUACUUUAGCCUUAAAUAUGUUAUAUUAGUUUUAAUAAAAUAUUAAUUAAUGCACCGAAAAUUUACCGGGUCUCAAAUAAUUUACCGAAAUCGUGUCGCUGAUAUUUAUAAUUUAUUUUAUAUUUCAUUAAAAACCAAUUAUUAAUUUUUUUUUAUGUAAGCUGGACCUACAUUUAGCAACAUAUUUGAAUUAUAAUUUAUUAAAAAUAUUCAGUAGGGUAUCAAUUCAUUCUAUACUUAUAGAAAAAUAGUUUUCAAUUAUAUGUGAAAGUAUAUGAAGAGAUAAUGCUGACAUGAGUAGCGUUAAAGAAGGAAAAUAAUCCUUCUCGCCGAAAACGAAAGGGUUUUAAUUCGAAGAAUUUUCAAAUCGAAUUUUUUAAAGCGGUCUCUAAGGAUUAAAAAUUACGUGCAAAAGCACAACCUGAUGAGUUUUGGUCUAUACUAUUAUUAUUUUUUUUUUAAUUAAAUGUUAGUAGUAAAAUUUUAAGUAUAUAAUAUUUUUUUAUUAAGAUUUUUGUCUCAAUAAAAAAAAUUAAUAAAAUAUUUAAAACAAGAAAAAAGGACCAGGGAUUUAGAUUUCGUACAGUACUUUAAGUACUUUGUCGGCUAUUUCCUCUUAACUACCGUACCCUAAACCGACACUGGUUCGUUGGUAGAGAAUACUAAGGCGUAGAGAUAAGGCUCGUUAAGGAACUCGGCAAAAUUGACUCAAACGUUUGACAACAAGAGUAACCUCUCGCCAUAAGGCGUUAUAUAAUUAGUUAAUCUAAUAAUAUAAUUAAGAGGAGCACAAAAUCGGGAGCACCAACUGUUUACUAAAAACACAAUUCAGUGCAAAUAAUAAUUUAUUAGUAUACUGGAUGAGAUUUGCUCCGUGACAGUAACCAAAAAGAAUGUAAUGAAUUUGUUAUAUCUUGAAAGUCUGUUAAACAGCGGCCUUAACUAUGAGGGUCCUCAGGUAGCGAAAUUCCUUGGCCAUUAAAUGUGGUCCUGCACGAAUAAUAUAAUGAUUGUUCCACUGUCUCAACGAGUCUCUCAGCGAAAUUGAAAUACCCGUGAAGAUGCGGGUUGCCUUCAGCCGGACGGGAAGACCCUAUGCAGCUUUACUAUAAAUAGUUAUUUUUUUUCCUGUUACAAGCUUGUAGUAUAAAAGGUCAUGUCGAUUGACAAAGAUGAAAAACCUUAGCGAAAUAUUGGGAAAAAAUUACUUUUUAAUUAAUCAAAAAGAACAGUGACUAUCUGGUAGUUUUAAUGGGGCGUUAGCCUUCGAAAACGUAUCGAAGAGCUUUCAAAUUUAUAAGAUAAUAAUUUACAUUGUAUGGAGAACAAUAGGUCGUUUUGACCGGUAAAUGUGUAAGGGCAGAAAAUUAUCUGACUGUAAGAUUGAUAGAUCAAGCAGGCACGCAAGUGGGACCUAGUGACCAGAUAUUAGCCUAUGGGGGCGGUAUCGAUUAGAAGAUUAAAGUUACGCUAGGGAUAACAGCCUUACCACCCGUGAGAGUUCAUAUUGCGCGGGUUGACUGGGACCUCGAUGUCGACUCAACCUCUCCUCCGGGGGAAAAAUCUCGGAAGGGUUCGGCUGUUCGCCGAUUAAAAGGUUACGUGAGUUGGGUUUAAUACGUCGUGAGACAGUAUGGAUCCUAUCCUCUGAAGGAAAAAGAAGUAAAAGGGGGCAGUCUUUCUAGUACGAAAGGAUCAAUAAGAUAUGUUUCUAUAGUGUACCUAUUGUUGUAAUAUUAAAAUAUACAGCACCGUAGGGUAGCCACAAACAAAUUAUAUAAGAGCUGAUUGCAUAUUAAGCUCGAAUUUAUCCCCCAGAUACUAAUCAACAAGGAAUUAUUUA